UACGUAGGGACCAAGCGUUGUUCGGAUUUACUGGGCGUAAAGGGCGCGUAGGCGGCGCGGUAAGUCACUUGUGAAAUCUCUGAGCUUAACUCAGAACGGCCAAGUGAUACUGCAGUGCUAGAGUGUGGAAGGGGCAAUCGGAAUUCUUGGUGUAGCGGUGAAAUGCGUAGAUAUCAAGAGGAACACCUGAGGUGAAGACGGGUUGCUGGGCCAACACUGACGCUGAUGCGCGAAAGCUAGGGGAGCAAACGGG
rnacentral:rRNA from 1 species